rnacentral:rRNA from 1 species
GGUUUCCGGAGGUGAACCUGCGGAAGGAUCAUUACCGAUGUAAUCCAAAAGCACGACUCCGUCGUGACUACCGUGUGAACCGUACCAAACUAUUCAGGGGUCGGCGAGUCCGUUAAAUGGCGGUCGGACGCGUGCACCGCGCGCGGCCGCUCCGCCAGCCCCGCCUGUGUUUUUUAACAUACGUGUCUUGUCUGAAACGUGACCACUGUCGUGGUCGAGAGAGAAAGAAAGAGAGACAACUUUUGACGGUGGAUCUCUUGGCUCACGCAUCGAUGAAGAACGCAGCCAGCUGCGAUAAGUAGUGUGAAUUGCAGAAUUCAGUGAAUCAUCGAAUCUUUGAACGCAAAUGGCGCUCUUGGGUUCUCCCAGGAGCAUGUCUGUCUGAGUGUCGGAUAUCAUCCAACGCACCUAGUCGUGCGGCGUUGAGGCGUCACGGCCCUCCUCGAGGCCGUGUCCCUUGAAAGUCAGAGAGACUCGCCGCGGCACGGGUUCGUUCCUGCACACUCGCGGAGGCUAAAAACGCUUUUGCCCUUCGCGUGCACGGGAGCGUCCCGCCCGCCGAGUCGCGGAGGCGAACACUUUUAACUCUUGACCUCAGAUCAGG